rnacentral:rRNA from 1 species
ACGGAAGGCAGCAGUGGGGAAUAUUGCACAAUGGGCGAAAGCCUGAUGCAGCAACGCCGCGUGAGGGACGACGGCCUUCGGGUUGUAAACCUCUUUUAGUAGGGAAGAAGCGAAAGUGACGGUACCUGCAGAAAAAGCACCGGCUAACUACGUGCCAGCAGCCGCGGUAAUACGUAGGGUGCAAGCGUUGUCCGGAAUUAUUGGGCGUAAAGAGCUCGUAGGCGGUUUGUCGCGUCUGCUGUGAAAACUGGAGGCUCAACCUCCAGCCUGCAGUGGGUACGGGCAGACUAGAGUGCGGUAGGGGAGAUUGGAAUUCCUGGUGUAGCGGUGGAAUGCGCAGAUAUCAGGAGGAACACCGAUGGCGAAGGCAGAUCUCUGGGCCGUAACUGACGCUGAGGAGCGAAAGCAUGGGGAGCGAACAGGAUUAGAUACCCUGGUA